CGCGUGGGUAAUCUACCCUCGAAUUGGGGAUAACAUCGCGAAAGUGAUGCUAAUACCGAAUAAUAUCUUAAAAACCUCGGUUUUAAAGAUCAAAGGAGGCCUCUACUUGUAAGCUUCUGUUUGAGGAUGAGCCCGCGUACCAUUAGCUUGUUGGUAGGGUAAUGGCCUACCAAGGCUACGAUGGUUAGCUGGUCUGAGAGGAUGAUCAGCCACACUGGAACUGACACACGGUCCAG
rnacentral:rRNA from 1 species